rnacentral:rRNA from 1 species
GACGAACGCUGGCGGCGCGCCUAACACAUGCAAGUCGAACGAGCGAGCGAGAGCUUGCUUUCUUGAGCGAGUGGCGAACGGGUGAGUAACGCGUGAGGAACCUGCCUCAAAGAGGGGGACAACAGUUGGAAACGACUGCUAAUACCGCAUAAGCCCACGGUGCCGCAUGGCACAGAGGGAAAAGGAGCAAUCCGCUUUGAGAUGGCCUCGCGUCCGAUUAGCUAGUUGGUGAGGUAACGGCCCACCAAGGCGACGAUCGGUAGCCGGACUGAGAGGUUGAACGGCCACAUUGGGACUGAGGCACGGACCAGACUCCUACGGGAGGCAGCAGUAGGGAAUAUUGCACAAUGGGGGAAACCCUGAUGCAGCGACGCCGCGUGGAGGAAGAAGGUCUUCGGAUUGUAAACUCCUGUUGUUGGGGAAGAUAAUGACGGUACCCAACAAGGAAGUGACGGCUAACUACGUG